rnacentral:rRNA from 1 species
UGGGGAAUAUUGGACAAUGGGCGAAAGCCUGAUCCAGCCAUGCCGCGUGUGUGAAGAAGGUCUUCGGAUUGUAAAGCACUUUAAGUUGGGAGGAAGGGCAGUAAGCGAAUACCUUGCUGUUUUGACGUUACCGACAGAAUAAGCACCGGCUAACUCUGUGCCAGCAGCCGCGGUAAUACAGAGGGUGCAAGCGUUAAUAGGAAUUACUGGGCGUAAAGCGCGCGUAGGUGGUUCGUUAAGUUGAAUGUGAAAGCCCCGGGCUCAACCUGGGAACUGCAACCAAAACUGGCGAGCUAGAGUAGGGCAGAGGGUGGUGGAAUUUCCUGUGUAGCGGUGAAAUGCGUAGAUAUAGGAAGGAACACCAGUGGCGAAGGCGACCACCUGGGCUCAUACUGACACUGAGGUGCGAAAGCGUGGGGAGCAAACAGG